ACAAGGUCAUCAGUAAGCACCGUCUUCUAGAUAGCAGUGCCAAGGAAGGAUACAGACCAGACAAGCUCAAAGGAGAAAUUGAAUUCAAAAACAUCCAUUUCAGUUACCCAUCCAGACCUGAUGUUAAAAUUCUCAAGGGCCUGAACCUGAAAGUUCAAUCGGGGAAGACCAUCGCUCUGGUUGGCUCCAGUGGCUGUGGCAAAAGUACUGCUAUUCAGCUGCUACAGAGAUUCUAUGAUCCAGUCCAAGGAGAGAUUACCUUAGAUGGACGAGAUAUUCGGACA